UCCUUAUGCCUUCUUCUUCAGACACAACUUGAGCCGCAUAUUUGAGCGAGCAGUCCAGUAGUACACAGCCUGCCUUACUGGAGUUACUGUCUCCGCCUCCAUCGUCAGCAACUCCGUCAACUGCCGGUUUGUCUAGUUCAAAUCAUUGAAUCCUUAAUCGUUUCUCUUCUUCAUUUAUGUUUGGAUAUUGAAUUUUUGGUAAAAAAAAAUAAUUCUUGGAGACUCUGAGUUCAAAUUCAGGGUAUUUUGCUCAGUUGCUCCCCCUAAGAAUUUCAAGGAUAUUGUUUUGCCAUUUAUCACUCCUUCUUUGCUUUCUCAAUUGACAGUGAGAGCAAACAAAUUUUUUAUUAUAAUACUAGAAAUUUAAUAUAAGAACCUAGCUAAGUUUUGUUUGGUUUUUCUUCCCCAGUUUUAUGAUAAUCUUGUGCUAUUAUUUAUGCAAAUUAACCAUUAUUUGAUGAUAAUUUGCUUGGUUUUGCUUUAGAUAUGGACUUGACUUUGUAGUUGAUAGGGAAUUAAUGUAAUUGGGGAAAGUAGUAUAUUCUAUUUAUUGAGAAAUUGAUGUGAGUAAAGAAGUGAGGGUUUAUAAUAUAUCUUGUGUUUAAACCGUUAUAUUGGUACUCCCGAAUGGCUUGGUGAUAAGCAAAAUAAGUAUAGUUGUUAUAAGCGGUGCUAAAUGCUUCAUUGUAUAUCUUUGCUCCUCUACUUUGUGGCUUACUGAUACACUGGAUAGCAAGUAAUGAUGUCUGGUGUUGCACAGUAACACAAGGAGUGAAUAUAAUGUGUGUUAAACAUUGGAUUACAUGUGGAUUACAGAUUAGCUAUGAAUAAGAUUCUGCAUAGGAUUGAUUUGAUAGUGUUGGCUUCGAAAAUUACAAAUGUCAAGUACUUGGAUUAUAGAUUUCACUAAAGCUCGGGCUUCGAUUAUAUCAGAAAUGACCCCUGCCAGAAUUCCUCCAAUGAGCAACCCAUAGUUUAUCUGUUAAAACUCAACUCAGAUUUGAGAUCCUUUCUAAUUUGUUUGGAAUAGAUGUGUUAUUUGGAAAGCUUCAAUCCUUUACUACUCAAAUAUCCUUUCUAAUUUAUUUGUUAAAUCUUUUUUCUCAAAACUGAAGCCAUGACAAAUGUACAGCUUGUGUAGUAAAGGGAAAAAAAAAUUAUACACACCAAUUGUGGUAAUAAACCAACAUCACAGUUAUGCUUUUCUUUGUAAUCUAGUUUAAUGUGAUAGGUAAGUAGAGUUACAAUUCAUUAACUCAUGCAAGCAUAAUUUUUUCUCCCAUUUGGUUGAGAUUUCUAUCCAAUAGGGUUCCCUAUUUGUAUCUUUUAGAUCUUUUCUGUAUCAUGAAAGACUAUGAUUUGGUAUAACAAUUUUUUAUAAUUCAUCUUAAAAGUCAACUGAAAUGAAUGAAAUUGUUUGAAAAAGUAUAGAACAUAUACUCCCUUGUAAAAAAAUCUUGAGUAUUUCAAAAAAAGAAAAAAGAAAAAAAAAAGAAGGAAUCGGUUGGUAUUGUGUGAGACAUUCUAAUGUGAAAUGGAUCUCAAAUAUGUAAUACUUUUAUAUGGGUAAGCAAGAUUGUUAGUCCUUGUUUCACUGCAAUGCUAAUCUUAUUUUACAUUUGACUUUUGUCUCUUCUUUUCUAUAACAAGAUUAGUGCUUAUAUUUGGAUUCUUAAGUUGGCUUUAAAAUAUAAUAGGAAUAUAGGAUUCUAAUCCUCUUAAUAUUUACUGAUUUUUUUGGGUGUUUGAAACUUUAGAUGCCAUCAGGUGAUUAAUUGACUUAUUCUCUAGAUUAUGGUUUCAAUGCAUUAGUCAAUAGUCAUAUGCAUUAUUUUGCAAUUAGUUUAAAAGUUGGGGUGUGAUGCGGGUCAAUUCACACAUGACUCAUUAAGAGUUCUUAAUAUUUUAUUGGGCCAUCUUAAGGCAACUAUACACUAGGUUUGUGAAACAGUGGUGGAAGAGUCAUGAAAGCUCAAAUGCUCAAGGAGUCCAAUCAGUGAUGGUGAAUAUUUAAAGUAUUUUAAUUGCAUUCAAGCUGAUUUGGUCAUUUGAAAGAGCCCUAAUCACUACUUAGAUUAGGAAAAUUGUUUCAUAUUUAAAUUGUUACCUUUAUUGCUUUUCUUAUUAGAUUUUAGAAGGAUUCUAUCACAUGCCACUUUCACCCAUAAAAGGAGUGUAUGUGUUUUGAUUUUAAAGAGUUAAGUUAUCAAUAAAAAUUCAUAACGUUUUCUUUGCA